rnacentral:rRNA from 1 species
CAGCCGCCGCGGGAAUACGAAGGGGGCUAGCGUUGUUCGGAUUUACUGGGCGUAAAGCGCACGUAGGCGGACUUUUAAGUCAGGGGUGAAAUCCCGGGGCUCAACCCCGGAACUGCCUUUGAUACUGUAAGUCUUGAGUAUGGUAGAGGUGAGUGGAAUUCCGAGUGUAGAGGUGAAAUUCGUAGAUAUUCGGAGGAACACCAGUGGCGAAGGCGGCUCACUGGACCAUUACUGACGCUGAGGUGCGAAAGCGUGGGGAGCAAACAGGAUUAGAUACCCCCGUAGUCCCUGUCUCUUAUAC